GAUGAACGCUGGCGGCGUGCCUAAUACAUGCAAGUCGAGCGAACAGACGAGGAGCUUGCUCCUCUGACGUUAGCGGCGGACGGGUGAGUAACACGUGGAUAACCUACCUAUAAGACUGGGAUAACUUCGGGAAACCGGAGCUAAUACCGGAUAAUAUAUUGAACCGCAUGGUUCAAUAGUGAAAGACGGUUUUGCUGUCACUUAUAGAUGGAUCCGCGCCGCAUUAGCUAGUUGGUAAGGUAACGGCUUACCAAGGCAACGAUGCGUAGCCGACCUGAGAGGGUGAGCCACCACGGGAAAGGGGAAACGGGCACAAUACUCCUGGGGGGGGCAGUGGGGGAAAUUCUACCAAAGGGGGAAAACGCAUGACGGAAACCCGCCGGGGGUGAGAAGGGGUUCUGGGUAUUGAAAACCUCUUUUUGGGGGGAAGAAAAAAUGUGAAAAACACUGCGCUUUUGUAGAGGGCCCCAAAAGAAAAACCCGCGUAAAUCCGC
rnacentral:rRNA from 1 species